UGGGGAAUAUUGCACAAUGGGCGAAAGCCUGAUGCAGCAACGCCGCGUGAGUGAUGAAGGCCUUCGGGUUGUAAAGCUCUGUCUUUUGGGACGAUAAUGACGGUACCAAAGGAGGAAGCCACGGCUAACUACGUGCCAGCAGCCGCGGUAAUACGUAGGUGGCAAGCGUUGUCCGGAUUUACGGGCGUAAAGGAUGCGUAGGCGGAUUUUUAAGUGAGAUGUGAAAACCCUAAGCUUAACUUGGGGACUGCAUUUCAUACUGGAAAUCUAGAGUGCGGGAGAGGAGAAUGGAGUUCCUAGUGUAGCGGUGAAAUGCGUAGAGAUUAGGAAGAACACCAGUGGCGAAGGCGAUUCUCUGGACCGUAACUGACGCUGAGGCAUGAAAGCGUGGGUAGCAAACAGGAUUAGAUACCCUGGUAGUCCACGCCGUAAACGAUGAGUACUAGGUGUAGGAGGUAUCGACCCCUUCUGUGCCGCAGUUAACACAAUAAGUACUCCGCCUGGGAAGUACGAUCGCAAGAUUAAAACUCAAAGGAAUUGACGGGGGUCAUAGCUGUUUUU
rnacentral:rRNA from 1 species